UAGGGAAUCUUCCGCAAUGGGCGAAAGCUUGACGGAGCAACGCCGCGAGAGUGAUGAAGGUCUUCGGAUCGUAAAACUCUGUUAUUAGGGAAGAACAAAUGUGUAAGUAACUAUGCACGUCUUGACGGUACCUAAUCAGAAAGCCACGGCUAACUACGUGCCAGCAGCCGCGGUAAUACGUAGGUGGCAAGCGUUAUCCGGAAUUAUUGGGCGUAAAGCGCGCGUAGGCGGUUUUUUAAGUCUGAUGUGAAAGCCCACGGCUCAACCGUGGAGGGUCAUUGGAAACUGGAAAACUUGAGUGCAGAAGAGGAAAGUGGAAUUCCAUGUGUAGCGGUGAAAUGCGCAGAGAUAUGGAGGAACACCAGUGGCGAAGGCGACUUUCUGGUCUGUAACUGACGCUGAUGUGCGAAAGCGUGGGGAUCAAACAGG
rnacentral:rRNA from 1 species